rnacentral:rRNA from 1 species
AGAGUUUGAUCCUGGCUCAGGAUGAACGCUGGCGGUAUGCUUAACACAUGCAAGUCGAACGGGAUGCUUAGGCAUCUAGUGGCGGACGGGUGAGUAACGCGUGAGAAUCUGGCUCCAGGUCGGGGAUAACAGUUGGAAACGACUGCUAAUACCGGAUGUGCCGAGAGGUGAAAGAUUUAUCGCCUGGAGAUGAGCUCGCGUCUGAUUAGCUAGUUGGUGGUGUAAGGGACCACCAAGGCGUCGAUCAGUAGCUGGUCUGAGAGGAUGAUCAGCCACACUGGGACUGAGACACGGCCCAGACUCCUACGGGAGGCAGCAGUGGGGAAUUUUCCGCAAUGGGCGAAAGCCUGACGGAGCAAUACCGCGUGAGGGAGGAAGGCUCUUGGGUCGUAAACCUCUUUUCUCAAGGAAGAAGAAAGUGACGGUACUUGAGGAAUAAGCAUCGGCUAACUCCGUGCCAGCAGCCGCGGUAAUACGGAGGAUGCAACCGUUAUCCGGAAUGAUUGGGCGUAAAGGGUCUGCAGGUGGAACUGAAAGUCUGCUGUUAAAGAGUUUGGCUUAACCAAAUAAAAGCGGUGGAAACUACAGAACUAGAGUGUGGUAGGGGCAAAAGGAAUUCCUGGUGUAGCGGUGAAAUGCGUAGAUAUCAGGAAGAACACCGGUGGCGAAAGCGUUUUGCUAGACCAUAACUGACACUGAGGGACGAAAGCUAGGGGAGCGAAUGGGAUUAGAUACCCCAGUAGUCCUAGCCGUAAACGAUGGAUACUAGGCGUGGCUUGUAUCGACCCGAGCCGUGCCGGAGCUAACGCGUUAAGUAUCCCGCCUGGGGAGUACGCACGCAAGUGUGAAACUCAAAGGAAUUGACGGGGGCCCGCACAAGCGGUGGAGUAUGUGGUUUAAUUCGAUGCAACGCGAAGAACCUUACCAAGACUUGACAUCCUGCGAAUCCCGGUGAAAGCUGGGAGUGCCUUAGGGAGCGCAGAGACAGGUGGUGCAUGGCUGUCGUCAGCUCGUGUCGUGAGAUGUUGGGUUAAGUCCCGCAACGAGCGCAACCCUCGUUUUUAGUUGCCAGCAUUAAGUUGGGCACUCUAGAGAGACUGCCGGUGACAAACCGGAGGAAGGUGAGGAUGACGUCAAGUCAGCAUGCCCCUUACGUCUUGGGCUACACACGUACUACAAUGCUACGGACAGAGGGCAGCGAGCCAGGGAUGGCAAGCGAAUCCAGAAACCGUAGCUCAGUUCAGAUCGAAGGCUGCAACUCGCCUUCGUGAAGGAGGAAUCGCUAGUAAUUGCAGGUCAGCAUACUGCAGUGAAUUCGUUCCCGGGCCUUGUACACACCGCCCGUCACACCAUGGAAGUUGGUCACGCCCGAAGUCAUUACCCCAACCGAAAGGAGGGGGAUGCCUAAGGUAGGACUGGUGACUGGGGUGAAGUCGUAACAAGGUAGCCGUACCGGAAGGUGUGGCUGGAUCACCUCCUUUUAGGGAGACCUACCCAUUGAGGAAUCAAAAGCCGCAGGCGAAUAGAGAAUCAAAUGGUCUACUCUAGGUCGGUGCCGU